GACGAACGCUGGCGGCGUGCCUAACACAUGCAAGUCGAGCGAUGAAAACCCUUCGGGGAUGGAUUAGCGGCGGACGGGUGAGUAACACGUGGGCAACCUACCUCAAAGUGGGGGAUAGCCUCCCGAAAGGGAGAUUAAUACCGCAUAACAUUAGUUGAUCACAUGAAGAACUAAUUAAAGGAGUAAUCCGUUUUGAGAUGGGCCCGCGGCGCAUUAGCUAGUUGGUGAGGUAAUGGCUCACCAAGGCGACGAUGCGUAGCCGACCUGAGAGGGUGAUCGGCCACAUUGGAACUGAGACACGGUCCAGACUCCUACGGGAGGCAGCAGUGGGGAAUAUUGCACAAUGGGGGAAACCCUGAUGCAGCAACGCCGCGUGAGUGAUGAAGGUCUUCGGAUUGUAAAGCUCUGUCUUUUGGGACGAUAAUGACGGUACCAAAGGAGGAAGCCACGGCUAACUACGUGCCAGCCGCCGCGGUAACAC
rnacentral:rRNA from 1 species